AAAGGCACAUAUCGUCAAGAUAGGAUGUUUGAUGCAUUAUUGGGGCAUUUAUUCUGAAGGGGCUAUACAUGUGGUGAGCUUGUUGGAUUCAUCUGGAGAAGGGACUUUUGUUCUACUCGAAUAAUGAAGUUUUAUUGUAUUUCUGGGCAAGAGAGAAGUUUUAUAUUAGUAGAAGGCGAGAGGUUUAUCUUUCAGAGGUUAAGUAGAUGAAAGUUGACUUCCUAGUGUAUCCAAGGAAUGUUUUGUCAAGGCUUUUGUCACAGUCAAAUUUGUUUCAGCGUCAACACUUUGUUCAGUUGGUUAGCUAAACUGACAAUGCAGUUUUUGCUCCAUUGAUGUACUAUUAUGCAGUGUAGCUAAAUUAAGUGGAGGUGGAGAUAUCCUUCCGGCUCUUGAACCCGUUCCUCUCAGUACCAUAAAUCGACAAAGAUGGAUUUUGUUCCUCUCAGCACAGGUUUGAGAUUUAUAUAUUGCAAUUACUCUUUGUAUUUACUACUAUGGUUAUCCGAACAUAGAAGGUGAUUUUUAACUGAAGUAAA